GGAGCAAGCCCCACCACGCGUGGAGGGGCGGAGAGUACCCGGACAAAAAGCAUGGGCUAACUCCGUGCCAGCAGCCGCGGUAAUACGGAGGAUGCGAGCGUUAUCCGUAUUUAUUGGGUUUAAAGGGUGGGGAGGCGGCCCGGCGAGCCAGCGGUCAAACCGGGGGGCUCAACCCCCCGCCGCCGUUGGAACUGCCGGGCUCGAGUGAGCGAGAAGUAAGCGGAAUGCGUGGUGUAGCGGUGAAAUGCAUAGAUAUCGCGCAGAACGCCGAUUGCGAAGGCAGCAUGUCGGCGUCCUACUGACGCUGAAGCACGAAAGCGUGGGGAUCGAACAGGAUUAGAUACCCUGGUAGUCCACGCGGUAAACGAUGAACACUAGGUGUCCGGGGCGAAUGAGUCCUGGGUGCCACAGCGAAAGCGUUAAGUGUUCCACCUGGGGAGUACGCCGGCAACGGUGAAACUCAAAGGAAUUGACGGGGGCCCGCACAAGCGGAGGAACAUGUGGUUUAAUUCGAUGAUACGCGAGGAACCUUACCCGGGCUCAAACGCGGCAGGGAGCGCAAUUGAAAGGAGGCGCGCCCGCAAGGGCCUGUCGCGAGGUGCUGCAUGGUUGUCGUCAGCUCGUGCCGUGAGGUGUCGGCUUAAGUGCCAUAACGAGCGCAACCCCCAUCGGCAGUUGCCAGCAGGUAAAGCUGGGGACUCUGCCGAGACUGCCGGCGCAAGCUGCGAGGAAGGCGGGGAUGACGUCAAAUCAGCACGGCCCUUACGUCCGGGGCGACACACGUGUUACAAUGGCGUCCACAGCGGGAAGCCACCCGGCGACGGGGAGCGGAACCCCAAAGGGCGCCACAGUUCGGAUCGGAGUCUGCAACUCGCCUGCAUGAAGUUGGAAUUGCUAGUAAUCGUGGAUCAGCAUGCCGCGGUGAAUACGUUCCCGGGUCUUGCACACACCGCCCGUCA
rnacentral:rRNA from 1 species